rnacentral:lncRNA from 1 species
AUCAGUGUUAGCAGUUGCAGAGUCAGUCCAGCGUCUGCCAGAGGUGAGUAGAACUAAACUUAAUCUUUUAUUUUACGAAAUUCAAAUGCCUAAAGCAUGUUCAUGCAUCAUGUUUAUAUGUAAUAGGUUGAUUGCACUAGUUACACGAAUAUGACGCAUUGCAUUAUUUACUGUUGAUGUGGAUGGACCAAGGCGACCCCAAUAGC